ACUCCAAAGCCCUCCCUCCCCCUCGCUCUCUCCUCACCUGGACCUGGGGCCCAGAGAGCCCUUCUGCAAAUGCUGUGCUGUGGUGUUUGGGGACUGUCCGGUCCUCCAGCCAGCUCAGUGAGGGGGGCGCUGAGAGUAUUUUAGUAAGAAACUGCAAAUUGGUGGGCGGGGGACACAAGGUGUGGUUGUGUGUGAGCUGGUAGGGGAAGGGGCUGUGGAGCAGGACACAACCCAGCACCACCUGUUUUCUGCUGCCAUGAUGCAUGGGAAGGCCGUGUGUGUGUGUGUCCUGCAAGACAGCCCCACUCGUGGGGGUGGCAAUGCCAUGCCCUUCCCUGCCUGUUCAGUGGGGGGCGGGGGGGAGCUGUUGCCCACCCUGCCUGUGGGUUCUCAAGCUGUUGUCAGAGUUAUGAGGAAAGCCGGGAGGAUGAAUAAACCAACACCCCACUCCCUGGUUCUCCACA